GAUGAAGAACGCAGCGAAAUGCGAUAAGUAAUGUGAAUUGCAGAAUUCAGUGAAUCAUCGAAUCUUUGAACGCACAUUGCGCCCUCUGGUAUUCCGGGGGGCAUGCCUGUUCGAGCGUCAUUAUAACCACUCAAGCUCUCGCUUGGUAUUGGGGUUCGCGGUUUCGCGGCCCCUAAAAUCAGUGGCGGUGCCUGUCGGCUCUACGCGUAGUAAUACUUCUCGCGAUUGAGUUCGAUAGGUCUACUUGCCAGUAACCCCCAAUUUUACAGGUUGACCUCGGAUCAGGUAGGGAUACCCGCUGAACUUAAGCAUAUCAAUAAGCGGAGGA
rnacentral:misc_RNA from 1 species